rnacentral:tRNA from 1 species
AAUAAGGAAAAGAAAAGAUUUAAAAUCUUUUAAGUACAUAUUAAAAAAUGUACCUUAUUA